rnacentral:rRNA from 1 species
AUUGAACGCUGGCGGCAUGCCUUUCACAUGCAAGUCGAACGGUAACAGGUCUUCGGAUGCUGACGAGUGGCGAACGGGUGAGUAAUACAUCGGAACGUGCCUAGUAGUGGGGGAUAACUACUCGAAAGAGUGGCUAAUACCGCAUGAGAUCUACGGAUGAAAGCAGGGGAUCGCAAGACCUUGUGCUACUAGAGCGGCAGAUGGCAGAUUAGGUAGUUGGUGGGAUAAAAGCUUACCAAGCCGACGAUCUGUAGCUGGUCUGAGAGGACGAUCAGCCACCCUGGGACUGAGAAUCGGCCCAGACUCGUACGGGAGGCAGCAGAGGGGAAUUUUGGACAAUGGGCGCAAGCCUGAUCCAGCAAUGCCGCGUGCAGGAUGAAGGCCUUCGGGUUGUAAACUGCUUUUGUACGGAACGAAAAGCCCCGGGUUAAUACCCUGGGGUCAUGACGGUACCGUAAGAAUAAGCACCGGCUAACUACGUGCCAGCCGCCGCGGUAA